AAUACAUGCAAGUCGAGGGGCUCAGCAAUGAGCACCGGCGCACGGGUGCGUAACGCGUGGGAACGUACCUCUGGGUGCGGAACAACGUCGGGAAACUGACGCUAAUACCGCAUAAUAUCUCCGGAUCAAAGAUUUAUCGCCCAGGGAUCGGCCCGCGUUGGAUUAGCUAAUUGGUGAGGUAAUGGCUCACCAAGGCAACGAUCCAUAGCUGGUCUGAGAGGAUGAUCAGCCACACUGGGACUGAGACACGGCCCAGACUCCUACGGGAGGCAGCAGUGGGGAAUCUUGGACAAUGGGGGAAACCCUGAUCCAGCAAUGCCGCGUGUGUGAAGAAGGCCUGCGGGUUGUAAAGCACUUUCAGUGGGGAAGAAAAGCUUCGUGCUAACACCACGGAG
rnacentral:rRNA from 1 species